AUACGGAGGGUGCAAGCGUUAAUCGGAAUUACUGGGCGUAAAGGGCGCGUAGGCGGUCUAUCAAGUCAGGUGUGAAAUCCCACGGUUCAACCGUGGAGGUGCAUCUGAAACUGAUAGACUUGAGUAUGGGAGAGGAAAGUGGAAUUCCCGGUGUAGAGGUGAAAUUCGUAGAUAUCGGGAGGAACACCAGUGGCGAAGGCGACUUUCUGGACCAAUACUGACGCUGAGGCGCGAAAGCGUGGGGAGCAAACAGGAUUAGAAACCCCUGUAGUCC
rnacentral:rRNA from 1 species